UCUCUUCAAUAAGUUUUAGCAUGAUGAGCCACAACAAAUAUGGUCUAUAAUAACAAUCAGCAGGAAGAAAAAAAAAAAAAAAAAAACGUAGAAUCUUAUGAAAUUUAAAAGCUGAAGCUUUGAACUUGUUCUACCAUGCAGACACCAUUCACAAAAAGAUUGCAGCAAUAUUAUCUUGUUCGAAGAACAAAAAGGGAAAUGUGGUAAACAGCUAGCAGGCAGGUGAUGAUAAUAGGAAAACAAAUAAUUUCUGGAGAUGAUACACUCAUGGCCAGAUGUUAUCAAAUAUUAAAAUCAAGCCAAGCCAUUAGUGAAGAUCAGGAAAUAGAAAACACUGGCACAAUCAGAAAUAUGUGUAUAAGUGAGAGGCACAAGCUUAAUCCAACCACAGUGUCGAGUCUUGAAAACAAUAUUUAAAACACAAGCAGGAGGGCCAUCCAAAAUUCUUGAAAAUAGAGCUUAACUAGGAUUCCAGAUUCAAACAUCCAGCAUGGUUAGGCUCUAAAAGCAUGACUGCAAAACAAACCAAUUAUUCUAAAAUCUCACAUUUUGAUAUAACAAAUAGUUGAUAUGUUACAAAGAAAUUACUCUAAAAUCUCAUACUUCCAUAUAAGGAAUACUCGAUUUUUUUCCAACAGAAACUAUAACUGGCCACAGAUAUUCUGUACAAGGCAUACAGUAUAUAUCACAAAGAUUUCAUAAUUGAGUUGAGCGAGUCUAUUUUUCUUCCACCUUUUGUUUGUCCAUUUUGCAUCCUUCAUGUUUAUUCAAAAUAUAUCAUCCAGUACUAUUAGGAGGAUAGAAAAAAGAUGGUGUGGAAAUAAAUCCGCUCAAUUUAAUCUACACAAAAAUUAGCAAUGGCAUGAACUGAAACAAUUAUCCUGGAUUAUGUUGUUCAAAGAAGAGACUGAAACAUAUGUUGUAUGUGUAUGUGUUUUGGGCUGCAAGGUGGUCAAGAGAAGAAAAAGACGAUAGUUUUAAUCUCUGAUCAUAAUCCUGCAAGCCAGAAACUGCUGUUGAUUAAUACUCAUUCAUCAAUUUUCUUAUCUUGCCACUAGGAAAAAAACUUUAUUAUAUGAAUGAAUGCUCAUUGAGAAUCCUUGGUUUUACACAUAUCAUAACAACCUGACACACUAUUCAUCCAUUACCUAACAACUUAUGGGUAGCUUGAUAUAAUGUCUGAGAUCUAGUUACUAGAGGUCUCAGGUUGUUUCUUUGUUCUCACAUUCAUUUGCCCUCAAUUUGUUGUUUGCCUUUAUCGGGCACAAUUUGCAGCCACACAUCAAGGAGGGUGUUAGACUCAUAAGUAUCAUGGCUCUUUACCUAAAAAUUUAAGCUUUUGAACUAGCUGGUAGUUUAAUGACAAAAGCAUAGGAGCAAUCAGCAAUGUACCAGAAACUCCAUAAGCUUACUUGCCUUGAAAUUUAAGAAUUUGAUUCACUUAAAGAGGGAUGUUGAAUAUAAUGUAUUUAUAGUAUAUUAUCUUUCCUUGUUAAUAUAGGUCACAUGUAUGGUAGUUAGGACUCCUAGCCUUGUAUAUAUAUAUAUAUAUCUCUCAAUUGUAAGUGCACAUUUUACAUGAAUGAGAAUUAAGGUUUUUCUCCUUUCUCUCUCUCUCUCAACAUGGUAUCAGAGCCAAAGGAGAAAACCUAAUCUUUUUUUCGGUUUAGCCGUGUAAUCAAUUCCGGCAAACCGUCCAGUGACCGUGUUUCACUCCGGUCCCCUCAUUCUCUUCCCGAACCACUCCGGACAACCUCAUCGCCGUCGGAUCUCCACCACGCCGGCGGCGAAAUUUUCCGACGACCUAUUUUCCGGGAAACGACCACAUAUUCCGAAACGCCGGAGGCUGAUCUACACGCCAGUGGAAACCCCACCGGAAACCGGCAUCUCACGCACCCCCACGCGCCGCUCUUCUCCUCCGGACUGUCACCCACGCGCCGGCGAGUGACGGCGCGUGGCUCACUUUCCAGCCACUUCCGACACCUCUCCAGGCUCGUCCGGCGCCGUCUUGGCCUUCUAGCCCUCCGGCAGUCCUCCCCGAGCCCUGCAUCUCCAUUUUUUCCCUGUUUUUGGCUUUCUUGCCAUUCCGGCCACCUCUGACAGGGCUCCCCCCCCAUCUCCGCGGCUUGGGUGCUACUUCUCUUCCUCUCCAGGGCUCUCUUCGAUCCAAAUACGUGAAUAUGACCACCAAAAAUCAGAUCUUUACCUCUGUUAUCUCUGGAUCUCCUAUGAUUACCUCAGAGAAAUUGGUUGGCAGUGAGAAUUAUCUGUCCUGGUCUGCCUCUGUUGAACUUUGGUUCAUGGGUCAAGGUUAUGAGGAUCACUUGGUUACCCAGGAGGCAGAUAUCCCUGAGGUUGACCGCGUACAGUGGAGGAAGAUAGAUGCACAGUUAUGUAGUGUAUUAUGGCAAUCGGUUGAUCCCAAGAUUCUUCUUCAUCUUCAGGCCUAUAAAACUUGUUUUAAAUUUUAGACUCAGGCCAAAGGAUUAUACACGAAUGAUAUCCAACGUCUUUAUAAGGUGGCUUCUGUUAUUGUCCAUAUCAGCCAACAGGACUUGGAUCUAUCUACUUAUAUUGGUCAGAUUGCCUCUCUUAAGGAGGAGUUCUUGACUGUGAUGCCUCUUACUCCUGAUGUUGGGGCUCAACAAACACAGCUUGACAAGUUCUUCAUGGUCCUUACUCUUAUUGGCCUCCGUCCGGAUCUUGAGCCUAUUCGUGAUCAGAUUCUUGGUAGUUCAUCAGUUCCGUCAUUGGAUGAUGUGUUUGCUCGCCUCCUCCGUAUCUCGUCCACUCAGACUUUGCCAUCUGAUAGCGCUUCAGAUUCUUCUGUGUUAGUUUCUCAAACUACCUCUCGAGGAGGACGCAGUGGUACUUGAGGUAGAGGCCAACGUCCUCAUUGCACCUAUUGCAAUAAACUUGGCCACACUCGCGAUCGUUGCUAUCAAUUACAUGGAAGACCUCCUCGCACUGCCCAUAUGGCCCAGUCCUCUGAUUCUCCGCUGCCUCAGCCUCCGAGCUCCUCCGCAUCUCAGACAUCUCAGGCUUCUAUUGCCUCUGUUGCCCAGCCUGGUAAUGCCUCUGCCUGCCUUACCCACUCAUCUUCUCUUGGACCCUGGAUUCUAGAUUCUGGAGCAUCUGAUCACCUAUCUGGUAAUAAGGAUCUUUUCUCCUCUAUUACUACUACCUCUGCUUUACCUACUGUUACCUUAGCUAAUGGUUCUCAAACUGUGGCUAAAGGUAUUGGUUUGACCCUUCCUCUGCCUUCUCUACCUCUCACUUCUGUCCUUUAUACUCCUGAAUGUCCUUUUAAUCUUAUUUCCAUUAGCAAAAUCACUCGUACUCUUAAUUGCUCUAUUACCUUUUCUGAUAAAUUUGUGACCUUGCAGGACCGGAGUACGGGGAAGACGAUUGGCAUAGGACGUGAGUCUCAAGGCCUCUAUCACCUCACCUCAGAUUCAUCUCCUGCAGUUUGCAUUUCCAUUGAUGCUCCUCUCCUCAUUCACAAUCGUCUGGGCCACCCUAGUCUCUCCAAGUUCCAGAAGAUGGUUCCUCGUUUUUCCACUUUGUCGUCGCUUCCGUGUGAGUCAUGUCAGCUUGGGAAACAUACUCGUGUCUCGUUCCCAAAGCGUUUGAAUAAUCGGGCAAAGUCUCCUUUUGAGCUUGUCCACACUGAUGUUUGGGGUCCUUGUCGGACUGCGUCUACUUUAGGAUUUCAGUAUUUUGUCACUUUCAUUGAUGACUAUUCUCGAUGUACUUGGUUAUUUUUAAUGAAAAAUCGAGCUGAGUUAUUCUCUAUUUUCCAGAAAUUUUAUACUGAAAUCCAAACCCAGUUCAAUAUUUCUAUUCGUGUGUUACGCAGUGACAAUGCCAGGGAAUAUUUUUCAGCCCAAUUUACUUCGUUUAUGUCUCAUCAUGGGAUUCUUCAUCAGUCUUCUUGUGCUCAUACUCCUCAACAAAAUGGGGUAGCUGAACGCAAGAAUCGACAUCUUGUUGAGACAGCUCGUACUCUCCUCCUCCAUAGUAACGUUCCUUUUCGUUUUUGGGGGGAUGCUGUUCUUACCGCUUGUUAUUUGAUUAAUCGUAUGCCCUCCUCUGUCUUACACGAUCAGAUUCCUCACUCCCUUCUCUUCCCUGACCAACCACUUUAUUUCCUUCCUCCUCGUGUCUUUGGUUGUACUUGCUUUGUUCAUAUUCUCACUCCUGGACAGGACAAGCUUUCCGCCAAAGCCAUGAAGUGCCUCUUCUUGGGAUAUUCCAGACUUCAGAAGGGUUAUCGUUGUUAUUCCCUUGAGACUCAUCGAUACUUUAUCUCCGCUGAUGUCACCUUCUUUGAGGACUCACCAUUCUUUUCCACCACUUCUGAGUCUCUUCCUGUUUCUGAAGUCUUGCCCAUUCCCAUUGUCUCCCCACCUGAUGCUAUGCCCCCUCGACCACUUCAGGUUUAUCAUCGUCGCCCUCGUGUCGUUGCUCCUCUCCCUUUUCCUGAGGCACCUGCUGACUCACUUCCUAUCCCUUCGGCUUCACCUGCCCCGGCUCUGCCUUCUCCUAAUGACUUACCCAUUGCUGUUCGGAAAGGUACUCGCUCUACUCGUAAUCCUCAUCCUAUUUACAAUUUUUUGAGUUAUCAUCGAUUAUCUUCACCCUAUUCUGCUUUUGUUUCUGCUAUAUCCUCUGUUUCUCUUCCAAAGAGCACCCAUGAAGCUCUUUCCCAUCCAGGCUGGCGACGGGCAAUGGUGGAUGAAAUGGCUGCUCUGCACUCUAAUGACACUUGGGAUCUUGUUGUUUUACCCUCUGGUAAAUCUACAGUUGGUUGUCGUUGGGUCUAUGUAGUUAAGGUUGGUCCUGAUGGUCAGGUUGAUCGCCUUAAGGCCCGCUUAGUUGCUAAAGGCUAUACUCAAGUUUAUGGUUCUGAUUAUGGUGACACAUUCUCCCCUGUUGCCAAGAUUGCUUCUGUCCGCUUGCUUCUCUCCAUGGCUACUAUGUGUUCUUGGCCUCUUUAUCAGUUGGAUAUUAAAAAUGUCUUCCUUUAUGGUGAUCUUGCCGAGGAAGUUUAUAUGGAGCAACCUCCUGGUUUUGUUGCUCAGGGGGAGUCUGGUUUAGUGUGCAGGUUACGCUGUUCUCUAUAUGGCUUGAAACAAUCUCCUUGAGCAUGGUUUAGCCGUUUUAGUUCUGUUGUUCAAGAGUUUGGCAUGCUUCGCAGUACAGCAGACCAUUCAGUUUUUUAUCAUCAUAACUCCUUGGGGCAGUGUAUUUAUCUGGUUGUUUAUGUGGACGACAUCGUCAUUAUAGGCAGUGAUCAGGAUGGUAUUCAGAAACUAAAGCAACAUCUUUUUACCCACUUUCAGACCAAAGACUUGGGGAAACUCAAAUAUUUCUUGGGAAUUGAGAUAGCUCAAUCCAGUUCUGGUGUGGUCCUUUCCUAAAGGAAGUAUGCUUUAGACAUCCUGGAAGAAACCGGUAUGUUAGACUGUAAACCGGUAGACACACCUAUGGAUCCGAAUGUCAAACUUGUACCAGGACAGGGGGAGCCUUUAGGAGACCCCGGGAGAUAUCGACGGCUCGUAGGUAAAUUGAACUAUCUCACCAUUACUCGUCCAGACAUUUCUUUUCCUGUGAGUGUUGUUAGCCAAUUCCUACAGUCACCAUGUGAUAGCCAUUGGGAUGCCGUAAUCCGCAUUCUUCGAUAUAUCAAAAGUACACCAGGCCAAGGUGUAUUGUACAAGAACAGAGGUCAUACUCAAGUUGUUGGUUACACAGAUGCAGAUUGGGCUGGCUCACCCACAGAUAGACGUUCCACUUCAGGGUACUGUGUUUUUAUUGAAGGUAAUCUAAUAUCUUGGAAGAGUAAGAAACAAGAUGUAGUGGCCAGAUCUAGCGCUGAAGCCGAGUAUCGAGCUAUGGCUUUGGCAACAUGUGAACUCAUAUGGUUGAGACAUCUUCUUCGGGAGUUGAGAUUUGGAAAGGAUGAACAGAUGAAACUCAUCUGUGAUAACCAGGCCGCAUUACAUAUUGCAUCCAAUCCAGUUUUUCAUGAAAGGACCAAGCAUAUUGAAGUUGACUGUCAUUUCAUUAGAGAGAAGAUCGCAUCAGGAUGUGUUGCUACAAGUUUUGUUAAUUCAAAUGAUCAACUAGCAGACAUCUUCACUAAAUCUCUCAGAGGUCCUAGGAUUAAAUAUAUUUGUAACAAGCUUGGUGCAUAUGACGUAUAUGCUCCAGCUUGAGGGGGAGUGUUGAAUAUAAUGUAUUUAUAGUAUAUUAUCUUUCCUUGUUAAUAUAGGUCACAUGUAUGGUAGUUAGGACUCCUAGCCUUGUAUAUAUAUAUAUAUAUCUCUCAAUUGUAAGUGCACAUUUUACAUGAAUGAGAAUUAAGGUUUUUCUCCUUUCUCUCUCUCUCUCAACAAGGGACAUAAAAAAUUUCAAACUCCUGGAGGGUGUUGGUGAGCAGUAUCCUAAGCAUGAACUAAGAGAUUCUUUUUUUUUUGAUAAGUAAUCUAAAAAGGAUGGCUUUUCAAAAGAAUCAUUUAACCAGACGGAAUGAAUGGAGGAAAGUAUCUUUUCAGAUUCUGCAUUACUCCAACCCCUCACAGAACUCUCCUCUGUCACCCUUUCCUUUUAUUCUUUCCUUCAAACUAUCAUUCUAGAUAAGGUAUUUUUCACUUAUAGCCCACAAGCUAUGAGCUAUCCCCAUAGUGAAUAUGAAGAUGAUUAGCCGAUUCCACUUCUUGUUUGCACAUGGAAUACCAGUUAACAAGGAUCAUUCCACUCAUCAACUAAUCAAUAUGAAGGAUCAUCCCUGGUUGCCUGUUUGCUUUCCUUUUCCUUCUUUAGAAAAUACUACACCGGUCUCUAAUGCACAACAAAUCAGUUUCUUGCUUCCCAUCAUUCUCAAUUCUGGCUUAUGAAUCAUGGCAAACCAGUGAAAGAAACAGAGUAUGUUAAGGGGGCUUACUGCUUACACAUUUAGGCAUGAACUAAGUUAGGGUGUAGCAAACUUCCAAGGGUUCAUUUCCACAGGGUGGUUAAGCUACCCCUCAUUUCCCAAUAGUUAGGGAAGAGGGUUGGUGUCAACCAAGGAACUGGGCAUGGGCAAGAAUUUAGGGCUUUCAAGGGUUCAACACCUUUCUCUAAUAGAAAGAGAUGUUCUCCCACACAAAAUAAUCCAACCUGAAUGGAACAGAAGCAGCCCAUGCUUAAUGCUUGUAGAGGUGAAGAGAUGCUAACCCUUGGAGGAAGUGCCUUAUGGUAGAUUUUCCAGAGAAACAACCCCUUUGGAGACCUGCUCUGCUAACUUGAUCUUCCUAUUCUGAUAGACUACAAUGCUAAAAAUGUUAAAUAAGCAAGACUCCAACUCCAGCUCCCAAUCAACCUUGUGAACCAUGGCACCCAAUGACAUUUCCCUCUCUCCAAGCACCAAAGAUCUGCUAUCACUACUUCCCUAUUUUCUGCAAUGCUGUUCAGAUCUGGUAAACUAUCCAUAAGAAGAACUUCCACGCACCAAGCAUCAUACUAGAACUUGAUCCUAAUCCUAUUAUCCAAGAAGACAAUUUUUUUUUUAAUCAGAAUUUUUUUUUAUCCAAGGAGACAAUAUUGAUACCAUGAAAACCAUCCCUCUCUGUUCUGACAGCUUUACAUAAGCCUACUGUAAGGCAACACUGCUCCCCCAGGAGCACCAAUCACCUCCUCCGGAAUUUACCUACCACUACCUUUAUCCACAAUCUAUCUCUAUUAGUAGCUAACCUCCAGAGACACUUCUCUAUAAUGCCUUCUUAAACACCUACAAACUCCUUAUUCCUUGACCACUAAAGAUGAAAAUAUCGGUUUUGAUGGAUAUAUUAGUAACUCAAUUUUACGGAUAUAUCGGGAUAUAUCUAUUAAUAUUUUGACACAAAAUAUUGGUGGGAUAAAAAUUGAUCAAAACUCAUGAAAAUGUUGAAAAUUUUCUGCAAAAUGAUAUAAGAAGUAAAAAUAAACAUUUUGAAAUUGUUUUGUUGAAGAAAUUGA
rnacentral:lncRNA from 1 species